AUCACUUCUUGGUCUUUUGGCUAAGAUCAAAGUGUAGUAUUUGUUCUUAUCAACUUAAUAUCUGAUGCAACAUCCAUAGGAUUUAAACUAUUUUCUGCAGGUAGGCUUGUGGUUAGGAAUUCAUUCUGCCCUUGCUACAGGUUAGCCUGCUAUUUCAAUUCUAUGUGGAAAGCAGUCAAGAGGUA
rnacentral:snRNA from 1 species